rnacentral:misc_RNA from 1 species
GCUGGAGCACAAUUGAAAAAUGCGGUGAGAAAUGCAAAUUGCUGUAUAACCCAUUACCUGUAGUAUUUUGAAUUUUCUUUUACUCAUGCUUAGGGGUGUCCUUGAGCUAGCUUACAUGCACUGAGACAGUUGAUGGUCAUAUGUCACACACAUCACCUGGUGGUAAUUUUUUCUUGGAUUUGGAUCUUUUUUUUUUUUUCCUUCUAAGUUCCCCUAUUUUUGAAAACCUUCAUUUCAGUCUUUCAAGUAGUUGUCAAUUUCAUCAUUUGGAAGUAGAUGUUUUCUAUUCAAAGGAGUUAAAUUUAUUUUACAGAGUUUUGAGACUCGUUACCUUUAUCCUAUUACUAUUUAUAUUCUUGGGCAUUUCUUUAAAACUCCUAAUAGCAAGCUAGUAAAUAGGGAGCA